GGUUAAGCGACUAAGCGUACACGGUGGAUGCCCCGGCAGUCAGGAGGCGAUGAAGGGCGUGCUAAUUCGCGAUAAGCUAGCCGGUAAGGUGAUAUGGAACCGUUAUAACCGGCGAUGCCUCGAAUGGGGAAACCCAGUGUGAUUCCGCCGCGUUCAUCAUUAACUGAACUAUAUAGGUUAAUGAGGCGAACCGGGGAAACUCGAAACAUCUAAGUACCCCGAGGAAAAGAAAUUCCAACCGAGAUUCCCAGUAGCGGCGAGCGAAUGGGGAGUGGUUUCCAGAGCCUGAAUCAGCAUGUGUGUUAGUGGAAGCGUCUGGAAAGGCGCGCGAUACAGGGUGACAGCCCCGUACACAAAAGCGCAUGUGCUGUGAGAGCUCGAUGAGUAGGGCGGACACGUGGUAUCCUGUCUGAAUAUGGGGACCAUCCUCCGUUGCCAAAUACUCCUGACGGACCGAUAGUGAACCAGUACCGUGAGGGGAAAGGCGAAAAGAACCCCGGCGUGAGGGGAGUGAAAAGAACUCAAAGUUCCGUGUACGCAUUGGGGUUAGUGGGGAGCCCUACCACCAAAGCGUUUCGCUUUUGUGUGGCGCACAAAGAAGGUAACGACAGCACUGGAAUGACGGUUAACGGAGCGCAAGCGACGUUCAACAUACAAAGUCAAGCAGUGGGAGCGCUUUUGGGGUGUGGGGUGACUAAAAAAUUCCGUAUAAUGGGUCAUGACUUAUAUUCUGUAGCAAGGUUAACCGAAUAGGGGAGCCGGAGGGAAAACCGAGUCUAAUUGGGCGUUGUUGCAGGGUAUAGACCCGGAAACUCCGGUGAUUCAGCCAUGGGCAGGUGUCAGGUUAUAACAUCAAUCUGAGGACCGAACCGACUUAAUGUUGAAAAUUAGCGGAUGACCUGCGGCUGGGGUGAAAGGCCAAAUCAAAACCGGGAGAUAGCUGGUUCUCCCGAAAGCUUAGGUAGCGCCUCGUGAAUUCAUCUCCGGGGUAGAGCACUGUUUCGCUAGGCCAUCCCGGCUUACCAACCCGAUGCAAACUGCGAAUACCGGAGAAUGUUAUCACGGGAGACACACGGCGUGGCGCUAACGUCCGUCGUGAAGAGGAAACGCACCCAGACCGCCAGCUAAGGUCCCAAAGUCAUGGUUAAGUGGGAAACGAUGUGGGAAGGCCCAGAUGAUGUUGGCUUAGAAGCAGCCAUCAUUUAAAGAAAGCUUUACAAGCCUACUGGUCGAGUCGGCCUGCGCGGAAGAUGUAACGGGCUAAACCAUGCACCGAAGCUGCGGCAGCGACGCUUAUGCGUUGCUGCGGGGAGCUGCUCUGUAAGCCUCGUGAAGGUGGCCUGUGAGGGCUGCUGGAGGUCGAAGUGCGGCACGCUGACAUAAGUAACGAUAAAGCGGGUGAAAAUUCGCUCACAAGUCGGAAGACCAAGGGUUCCUCAACGUUAAUCGGGCAGGGUGAGUCGACCUCUUGGCGCGAGGCCGAAAGGCGUAGUCGAUGGAAAACGGGUUAAUAUUCCCUACCCUGGUGUUACUUCGCGAAGGGGGACGGAGAAGCUGCCAUGCUGGCCGGGCGACGGCUGUCCCGGUUUGCUGCGUAGGUGUGUGUUCCUGUGCAAAAUCCGGCUCACUUUAACACUGAGGCGUGACGACGAGGCACCUGUAUUUCUAAGUUGAAGCAACAAAUGCCCUGCUUCCAGAGUUCUAAGCAUCAGGUAACAUCAAAUCGUACCCCAAACCGACACAGGUGGUCAGUGAGAAUACCAAGGCGCUUGAGAGAGAACUGGGUGAAGGAACUAGGGCAAAAUGGUGCCGUAACUUCGGGAGAAGGCACGCUGACACGUAGGUGAAGUGAUUUACUCAUGGAGCUGAAGUUACCGGGGUCGAAGAUACCCAGCUGGCUGCACCGUUUAUUAAACACAGCACUGUGCAAACACGAAAGUGGACGUAUAUGGUGACGCUUCCGCUCCGGUGCCGGAAGGUUAAUUGAUGGUCAGCGCAAGCGAAGCUCCUGAUCGAAGCCCUGGUAAACGGCGGCCGUAACUAUAACGGUCCUAAGGUAGCGAAAUUCCCUGUCGGGUAAGUUCCGACCUGCACGAAUGGCGGCACGAUGGCCGUAAAGCGUUCCACCCGGGAGACUCAUAGUGAAAUUGAAAUCGCUGUGAAGAUGGUGCGUACCCGCGGCAAGACGGAAAGACCCUUGAACCUUUUUACUAUAGCCGACACCGAACAUUGAGCCUGAUGUGCAGGAUAGGUGGAGGGCCGCAGCGUGACGCCAGUCUGCGGGAGCCGACCUUUGAAAUACCUCACCCUUUUAAUGUUUGAUGUUCUAACGUGAACCCGCAGUAAUCCGCUGCGGACAGUGUCUGGUGGUAGUUUGACUGGGGCGGUCUCCUCCUAAAGAGUAACGGAGGAGCACGAAGGUUGGCUAAUCCCGGUCGGACAUCAGAGUGUUAGUGCAAUGGCAUAGCUUUCAGCUUGACUGCGAGCGUGACGGCGCGAGCAGGUGCGAAAAGCAGGUCAUAGUGAUCCGGUGGUCUUGAAUGGAAGCGCCAUCGCUCAACGGAUAAAGGCAAUCUGGGAUAAUAUAGCCGAUACCGCCCAAGAGUUCAUAUCGACGGUGCGGUGUUUGGCACCUCGAUGCCUAGCUCAUCACAUCCUGGGGCUGAAGUAGGUCCCAAGGGUAUGGCUACGUUCGCCACGAAAAGUGGGUACGCGAGCCGGGCUUCUAGAACGUCGUGAGACAAGUUCGGUCCCUAUCUCGCCGUGGGCGCUGGAGAACUGGAGGGGCCGUUCCCAGUACGAGAGGACCGGAGUGGACGCAUCACUGGUGUUUCCGUUGUCAUGCCAAUGGCACGCCCGGUAGCUAAAUGGAAGAGAUGGGCAGCUGAAAGCAUCUAAGCACGAAACUUCCCGAGAGAUGAGCGCUCCCUCCCUGAGACUGUGGAGUCUCCUGGCGAACGUUGAAGACGACGACGUUGAUAGGCCGGGUGUAAGCGUUAAAGAUGUGCGUUGAGCUAACCGGUACCAAUGAAACCGCAGGCUUAACCUU
rnacentral:rRNA from 1 species